rnacentral:siRNA from 1 species
AUCAAACUGUCGAGAUAUGGUA